rnacentral:rRNA from 1 species
CCUACGGGAGGCAGCAGUAAGGAAUAUUGGACAAUGGACGCAAGUCUGAUCCAGCCAUGCCGCGUGAAGGAUUAAGGUCCUCUGGAUUGUAAACUUCUUUUAUAAGGGACGAAAAAAGGUCUUUCUAGAUCGUCUGACGGUACCUUAUGAAUAAGCACCGGCUAACUCCGUGCCAGCAGCCGCGGUAAUACGGAGGGUGCAAGCGUUAUCCGGAUUCACUGGGUUUAAAGGGUGCGUAGGCGGGCAGGUAAGUCAGUGGUGAAAUCCUAGAGCUUAACUCUAGAACUGCCAUUGAUACUAUCUGUCUUGAAUAUUGUGGAGGUAAGCGGAAUAUGUCAUGUAGCGGUGAAAUGCUUAGAUAUGACAUAGAACACCUAUUGCGAAGGCAGCUUACUACGCAUAUAUUGACGCUGAGGCACGAAAGCGUGGGGAUCAAACAGGAUUAGAUACCCUGGUAGUCCACGACCCUAAACGAUGGAUACUCGACAUACGCGAUACACUGUGUGUGUCUGAGCGAAAGCAUUAAGUAUCCCACCGUGGAAGUACGACCGCGAAGGUUGAAACUACAAAGAGUAGUAGGACGUGAGAGAGCGACGACGACGACGACGGAGGGAGGAGG